UGCAAAGGGAGAUAGCAAUGUAUUAAAAUUGGAACAAUACAGAGAUUAGCAUGACCUCUGCACAAAGAUGACAUGGAAAUUUGUGAAGUGCUCCAUAUUUUU
ensembl:snRNA U6 U6 spliceosomal RNA